GUCAUCGCGGCGGAAGUCCGGUGCAAAUCCGGCACGGUCGCGCCACUGUAAUCGCCGCUACGGCGAAAGUCAGACCCUCGCGGUGAC
rnacentral:ncRNA from 1 species